AUACUGGCCUUGGGAAAACCAUGAACAUGAAUGCGGUUCCCCCUGGAUGAGUCCCUUUCAUUACACUACGAUUGUGCUGACUUCUGCGAUUAUCCCUAAUUUGGAUAACUCGGGCGCGGAAUUUUUGGUAGUGGAACUGCGUACGCGUAUAAUCUGC